GAACACUAUAGUGCAGCUAGUGCAGCAGCUGCCGAAUGUAAACAAGUCGUAGAUGUUUGCCACGCUUGGCGGACGGUAAGAGGUGGCCCUCAAGCCAGGCCUCCUGGUGAUUAGCAAACCCUUGGUGUGGUGUGAGCCAGCCCAGACAUUGGCUGCUUCGUUGCACCGGGUUUUAUCUUUAUCAUAUUCGUCACUGUGUUGGCACAUUACAAUGCAAUGGGAGCAUACUCGUAUCCUUUUGGUGGUUUAGUGACUGAAGCACUGCAUUGCUGUGCAUAUGUACUAGGGUUCUAUUCCUCUCAGACUGGCUGUAUUCAGUGGAGGUAAUUUGUCAGCUUUGUUCUUGCUUUAUUAACACAAUUUUAUAUCACACCUUCCACUUGCCGAAUCGUUUUUACUGCGAGGAUUACAAAUGCAUUAUUUGCAGGGACGACAAACCUUGAAUAAUCUUGAGGCUUUCUGGCCAUAUAAGUGCUUGGCAUUUAAAGGGUUAGAUAUGAAAUACGUAACAGAAAGGGACAAAAAAUUUAAAGGGACGCUGAAGGCAAAUAACAAAUUAAGCUACUCGGAUGGAUUAGUACUUGAAAACUUCUAAAAUCUCAUUAUUAUUGACAACUGUGCUUUAAUUAUGAUGUUGAAGUAAAUGUAGUACACUAAAUGCAGCACCUCCAUUGUGUAAUUCUGUCACUAUCACUUAGCCAUUUAUAAUAAGAAUAAUUGCAGAUCAUUGUUUAUAAUAGCAGGUCACUGUAACAUGGAAUGAAAUUGUAGCUGUGCACUUCUAUUGAAGUCUUGGAUGUCUUUUUGACAUAAGGCUACAUGGUGCACAAAGUGUCGUCCCAGUGACGAUCUUGUUUGAGUAAUGUAUAGCAAUCUCAAAGGCAAUGUUGCUGUGGGCUAACAGUGCCAGAUUCAGUGGCAGGAGCCGAAAAACAUGUUAUGGCCGCCAUGCUUAAGACAUCAUCUCUCGACAAGGGUGCAGGUGGUUGAAAAGUUUCAUCACCCAUGUCCUCCUGUUAUCGCUCGUUUCAUGAACGUUUAGUGCAUUACUAGCCUUGAUCACUUGCAAACCUCGUUCUAACUGCAAGAGAAAACGUUGUACCCAUGUGAUGUUGAUGGCUCAAUUUCUGGCCAUACUUUCAUGUUUUUGUGCACUUCACUUAAGAAACUGCAGCGCCACCUGUCAAGCAGUAAAGAGCAGUGAAGCACGGCCUCUGAGGCGUUUGCGAUGUCAUUGUGCCCUCUGAGUGGGCAGGUGCUUUGGAUUUUGUUAGGGGUAUGUGCUGGGAAAGUGAUUUUCUCUUAAAUUAAGCAUUCUCUUGUGCUGCAAGGCAAGUGCUGCAAGGUUUCCAGAAUGGUAUUCUUAUAAUGCGCAUCAGAUUAAUACUUGCCUUUAGCGUACCUUCAUGCAGUCAUGGAGGAUAUCUAGAUUUGUUUUGACAACCUUGGUUAUUCUCAGUGUUGUUUACAUAAUGACAUAUUUGACGGAUUCUUAUCCUCCAGUGCCUCAAGUUGGACCAACGGAAAGCCCGCUUGAUAUCAGCCAAGGCGCCCAUGCCUGAGCUUAACUGCUAGCCAUUGCGAGAGUAGUCAGAGACCAGAACUGAAAGAGAAGACUUUGAUUCUGAGUGGACCACUUGGCAUUACUGGUGUUGGAAAAGCAAGCACACAAAUGCUUUGUUAUGUAGUAGCUGUUGAGUGACCGUCGCAAACUGCUGCUACCAUAUUGUUACGGGGAUCAUACCCGUGACAAUAUCAUCUAAACUUGAAUCCCAUGAAACUUUCUCCUUUAUUUUCACAAAAUGUUGUACUGAGACUUUUUUUUUGUUGUUUUUGCUGUUAUGACUGUUAAUGCGUAUUCCCGGUCACUGUUUCUUCACAAAGAAUCAAAUGCCAUUCCAUUAGAAUCUGCUGCCUCAAUUUGACAGUUUUUUUCCUUCGUUCUUUUAAAAUAUGACAGUGAAGUGCAAUCUUUCUUUAUUUACAUGUAAAAAGUUAUUUGCUCCCUAACUUUCUGUGCUUUGUUCUGAAUGCUAGAGAUUCAUAUACAUAUCAUAUCUGAAAAAUUAUUGCCGUCUCUUUUUUAUUAAAACACUGUCACCUAUAAAGUGUGUUUUUUUCUCUCUCUCUCUCUUAAUGCGUUUACUCUGUAUUGCUCUUGUGCCUCUGCAGUGUUUGUACAACUGACGAUCAUUGCGUAGGUUAAUGGUUGUUUCACGAAUGUCUGCAUUGCAGCAUGCGCUCUCACUGCAUUUUUUAUUUUGUUUCUCUUAAGUGUAACAGCUGUUUUAUGGGCCAUAACAUUACACCACAGAAAUGCCGUGUUUGGGAGUCCCAGUCUUAGAUCUUUCAAGCAGUGUACGGCAUUGAAUGCACGUAAGAUGUUUUUGGCUUGUAAAACAACGUAGCGAUAUCUCGGAUGACGCCACCAUAAGGUGUGCUGUGCUGUAUACUUUGUCGCAUCAUCUCCAUUGUCAUUGGCCUCAUAACUUACUUCUUAGCGUUGCUUCUAUUAUUUGCUUGUACGAUCUCUGUUGACAUUGUUUUUGUGGAUAAGACUUGCACUUAUGCUCGAGCAAAGUAGAUCGUAACUAAGAUUCUUUCCAACAAAAUCUUUCCUUGUUAUAUAUCCUCUUCAGUUGAAAAAAUCACUGAUGAGAAGUAAUGAUUGCAAUAAUGUGGAUGUCAUGCAGAGCAGUUACUUUUUACAGUAUGCACAAUCUACAUUGAUUGGAUCCACCUAAUAAUCCUGUUACAUUGGUUUACCUUUUGCCAAUUUUAUGGGACGGUGUUUGCGCUUAGUAUCAAAAACAGCAGUCACAGCUGAAAAAGUUGAAAACUAAUUCAUAUAUGUUUGAUUGCGUACAUGUUCUUUAUAAAAAAAGUUACAUCAAGUAAGCAAAACAAAAAAGAGGGAAACGAGCAGUGUAUCACGCAAACUAUGCUUCAGCAAUUAUAUGUGAUUAUUUUCAUGGAAAACAGGCACAUGUUUACAUGGCAAGGGAAAGCAUUUAUGUCCCUUCAUAUUGCUCUGAGUGGUCAGCCACCUCACUGAUGAAGAUUGUGUUCACAGUUAGCUUGAGUCAUAUUUGUACUUAGUAUGGAUGAUCGUCACUUUGACAAUUUAUGUAGACAUAACAUGAGCACAGUGUAAGUAAAAAUACUCUGAAUGAAAUUAGUUUGGCACUUACUAUGGCGCAUUCAUUAUUUUUUUUGGCAAGACAUUGCUGGUUUAUGCGUAGUUCAAUUUUUGGUGCUGCGGCACUACAUGAAAUAUUGAUGAUACAUAAAAUGCUAUUUGGUUAAGUGGCAUGAACUUUAGAAAUGAGCCCUUAAAUUCCCCUUCUUUCAUUCAUUCAUAGCAAGGGCCUCGUUCUGGCAUAAUUGAUGCUCUUAAGUAGCAUGCAUGGCCUAAUUGGUCAGCUGCCAGCUCGUAAAGAGGCCACAAGCUAUGUGACGCCAGCUGACAAAAAAGUGUGUUCCACGUUUGCCUUCAUGGCUACGAGUAGUGCUGACUAACACUCCCACAUUUCCGUGCACAGAAAUACCAGAUAAAGUGGACAGGAGGACGACUGCUACUGUAGCUCAAUCGGUAGAGAUGCGUUAUCUGAAGGUUGCAAAUUCGGUCUGUGCUGGUGGCAAGUUGUCUUUUUGUCCACUUUAUAAUUUCUUCACAUGUUACAUAAUAAUUACUGCAAUACAGCUGAAAGACUACAAAUAACAUCACGUAUACCUUUGUUAGCUUCAUUAUCUGUUGGUUUUCAUUAAGGUUGUGUCUAACAAAAAAAAAAAAAACAAGCCGCUUAGUUCCCCUUCUAUCGUUCAUGAAUUUUCAUGAGUCAGGCAUAAAAGUUUGUGACGUGCCACCUUAUAUCUGCUUUCCAUGCCAUCAGGUUCAAUACACUCAGUGGCAACAGCCACAUGCAGUGAAUACUUUGCUUGUUGACAAUUUUGUCUAUCAAUCAUUUCCAAGAAUUAGCAAUGAGCAGAACUUCUUGAUCAGUGCACUCUGACUUGUUAUACGGACACUUGCACAACCCCUUUUUUAAAAUCAUCUUGGCAUAAUGAGCUAGGAUAGCCUAGUUUGCUACACUUAUUUGCGGCAAUACUGCGAACAGAUACAGUAAACCAGCAGUAUUCUUGAAGUAAAUAACAAAUGAGUAAAUGAAAUUAACUUGCAAACCCUUUGUUUGUUCAUCUGUUCGUAGCAUCCGAGGCGAAUGGCUGCAGCUUGGACCAGCCCCAGAUGUUUCUCAGUGCGAUCGCGAGGACAGGCUUUAGUGAUCACGUGCCUGGAGUAGUGCAGAGCAUGUUACUAGAGUUUGACUCCUCGGAGACGAGAGUGGACCACCAACCAAUCAGGAGGCGCCUGGAGGCCCCAGCGGGAGACAGGAUGUACAGGUGCCGCGUCUGCUCACUCGAAUUCCCGCAAAAGGGUCACCUGAAGAUCCACCGGCUGACGCACAUUGGCGAGAAGCCCUUUAAGUGCACCUCCUGCGCUUACAUGACGGCCGAGAAGAGCGACCUGGUGACGCACGUGCGCACUCACACGGGCGAGAAGCCCUUCACGUGCAAACACUGCCCGUACAAGUGCGCGAGGAAGAGCCACCUGGCGUCGCACAUGCGCACACACACCGGCGAGAAACAGCACAAGUGCCCCAUAUGCCCGUACGCAUCUGCGUGGAAGAUAAACAUGACCCGCCACGUGCAGUUGUGCCACAAUAGAGUGGUACCACGAGACCAGUUGGGUGAGCGACCAACAAAUGUGCAGAGGUGAAAAAGCUGAGGAAACCAGGCGUCUGUUGAAGUGCCACUUUCUGAAACUGAAAUUAGAAGGCUGCGAGGAUUCUGCUCAUACUUAAGAGUUCAGGUCCACAUAUUCUUACAGGGAGCACAGUUGUGCGUUUUGGUUUUGAUUCACUGCUCAUGCUUAAAAUCACUCCAGCUAGUCACCAGCUUGGAAAAGCAAUCACGCACUGUAGGAAGUAUUCACAAUAACUUGGCAAACAAUCUGGAAACAGCAGCUCUGUCAUCACAUCACACCUUGCCACCUAAUUUAUUGUUACUAAAGUUGAUUUCCCUCAUUCAGUGGCAAGGUUUUCUGUUAAGCACUUUAUUCUUUGCACUCACCAUUUCCCUCAUUGACAUGUGCUGUACUGUCGGCGUCAAAUCAAACGCGAACAGCUGCAAGCAUUAACAAUGGUAUAGUGCGCGCCUUCCACUCAUCACUACUGACAGGCAUGCACAUCAGGAUCGGAAGUCGAUAUUUUCCCUUCUGUUCUUGUUCUGAUUGUAUAAUGGUGGCCGGCGUGGGUGUGCAGAGCGCAUUUGGUCAUUUCAAUUUUAUUUUAUUUUCUUCCUUUGAAGUAUUAGACCUAGAAUUGAAGCAAAAAUAUCACACUGUAGUGGGAUGGCGCAGUGCUGCCAAACCGGAUGUGCAUGCCUAUCAAUGGUGAUAGGAGAGCACGUACAUCGAUUUCUACUGCUUGCCACUGUUCACGCUUCAUUUGACACCGAUAGUACAUCAGUACAUUGUGUGGCAAAUGAUUCUGCAUUCAAUAGCUGCUGUUGAGAAACACUGCAACUACAGUCACCCAAGCACCAGUUGCAGUCAGGUAUGCUUGACUAUUCUGCAUGAUAACGCACCCUUUUUGUUUCUAUGCACACUGGCUUCUGCAGGUAUUGAGUAUGGCUUCCCCUCACAGCCCUGGUUCAAUUGUGCAGCUUUUUUACCUUUGGCAGAAGCAUAACAAAAGCUGUGCCGAUUCUGACAUAGGCUUUGGUGUGAUCACCUUAUGUUCCGGUGUCGGAGAAUUGAGGUUCAGUGGAAUUGAAGGAGCAUGUAAAAUAUAUGUAUUUGCACAGUCACCGAGAAGUGGGGGAGCCGAGGGAACAUUCAUUUGGGUCAUGUGACUGGGACACAGAGAUUUGAAGCAUCGCCCUGUGUUUUUUGUACUGAGACGCAAAAAAAAAUGUUUUCUAUUGCAAGGAAAGCUUAUAAGGUAUUUUUGCUCACAAAAUUUAAAGAUUCUGAUUUUGGCCACUUGUAAUUAUUUUUUCUUUUACCCUGAUGUGUGUUUGUCUGGAGGCAUUCUGGGAAAAGGGUCGUCAUUUUUAUCAAGCCUGCUUCUCUGUAUUUGAUGAGUGAAUCUUUAAAUUUAAUAGUUGAUGUACUAGUAAAUGCACAUUAGCCUUUUUCCCCAAAAGUGCAUUGACUAGAACCAGAAGCAGGUGACUGUGAUCAAAGUCUGCUCAGUGCCACUUGCUGCACCGAUUGACAGAUUGCAAUAAAACUCUUUGGUCCAGUUAAGAAAUGUUGUGCGGGCAUCAGCGCUGGUUGUGAUUACGUGUAACGUGAACACAGCACAAUUUGUUGCAUGAACUCUACUUGCAUUGUAAGUUCCGUAAUACUGUUAAGUUCCCUAAUGCUAAUGUAUUCAGAUGUAGUGCUGCCUGUUCAUAUGUAAUAUCAUUGAAGGUAGUGACAUUGAACUUGCUAGGUUGAUCAAGCAAGUCAGAUUUCUUUAGCGAUUUCAAAUAUGCUUUUUGUUGCUUAAAAGUACUAGCUACGUCACACGAACAGGCUGAUUGUUCACAUUUGAAGCAGAAUUUGCACCCACAAAAGCUUUUGUCCAAGAGUGUUCAUGUGAACAACAGACUCAAAGCUGGAGCAAUUGAACUGAAAUGGCACCCAUAAAUUUUGCCCACAGGAUAGCAUUGCUAAGUUUGAACAGUUUUAGAAUAUUGUACUGUGUGAUGAAUUAUGUUUGAUGAAUAGUACCAGAAAUUAUAAAUGUUUGUUUUUUCAGUUAUGUAAUAGCACUGCGUAACAAAAUACAAGCAGGGGUACAAAUUUGGUGGCAUAAUGCUGGAACAUGGUGUUCUUUACUGGCGUUCCUCACUAGGUGACCUCAGCUUUUCUACCGUGGCAAUAUGUUAAUGAUGCUUGGACUAAGGCAUAAUAAGGUGCUUGAUGCUGUCCAGUGCCAGUGGGGCAUGUUCAGGAGCAUUCUCAUAUAUGAAAUUACAAUUGAGGCCAAGGUUUCUUUGCGCCAGGAGUCUUAGCGAUUGGGCUCAGUUCCUGGAUUUCCUGACGUCAUGCUGAUAUUAUGGUGACAUGAGCACGGGCAAGUACAGUCACUGCUUGGAAAAUUCAGUGCUGUAUUCAUACCCAGCAUUGCAUGCAAAUAAGAUACCCCAUCUCCCCAGAAUAUUGUAAUUCUUGAGAAUGAGGGUAACACGAAUGUGCCAUUUAUGAUAGGCUCUAUUGAGCUUGUUAGCUGAAAUACCAAAGCUGUAGCAAUAUGCAUUACUUAUCGUGUUAAGAUGUUAAUGUUUUAAUGUGAUAUUUCUGAGUACUGUUUGAUGAAAUGUAAAUACAAAUGAGUUCUUUUUAAAGUUCCUCGUGUUGCCGAAUUCUAAUUGCCUGUACAGAAAUUGGGAAAUGGUUUUGACAUGCAUGCUUUGAUGCCACCAUAUUGGGGUGCUUUUUUUUUAAAUGGUAGCUUUCACUGCCAACCUUACCAAGGUUAUUGAGUGGUUCUUGUCCUCACAUCCUGAUGUCAUCAGGCAUUAACGUUUAUUGGUUCAGAAAAUAAAGUUGCAUGACUAAUGUUUCUUUUGCAAGUGUGUCAGCUUAUUAAAAAGUUGGUGUAUUUGUUUUUCAAUUGGAAGGCCAAGUGUAUUUAAACGCAAGCUCAGGCAAUAAGACACUUAGGAAUUGAAACGUCACAUACAAAUUAGAUUUGACAAAGCAUGAUUCAUAGACUACUUGGGGAGUGAAAAUGCUGUACUUCUCCAUAUAUAAGACACACCCCCUACACUCUAAGAAAAAAUCGAGUAUUUGGGGAGUAUUUUUGUCACACAAUAAUCGUCAUCUGGCUUGCGCGCGUUUUCUUUCUUGAAAACCCGGCUCGCAUCACUUUCCAAUCAAGAAUGCUAUGUCACGUUGAUAACGCGCACGCCGUUCGUGACCGAGAAGUGCCGGGACCGUGCUGAUAACGCAAGGAAAGUACGCGAGGUGGAUGGCGAUUAUAGUUGUGUUGCAGAAAUACUCCCCAAAUACUCUAUUUUUUCUUAGAGUGUGCUUUUGUAGCAUACAAGAAAAAACAAAAGAUCGGUUAAAAAGGAAACCGAAUUUGAAUGUGGUCGGGAUAGUGACAUGCAAUUAUGCAAGCUUGGGCAUUCAUCAUGAAAAGUCAUACUCAUGCACGGCAUCAAAUUUUUGUAAAUAUCACAAUUACGAAUUGCAAGUUUUAGCAUGCUAAAACUUCACGCUCACUCUCUCCUAAGGCAUACUAUGACACCAAAAUUUUUGUGACAUGAGGGUGGCUUUUACUGCAGCCAGCUACCACAGCUUUGCUAUGCAACCAUAGCUGUGCUGCAAAGAGCUGACAAUUGUUGCAACCGUCGCUCCAGUGUGAAAACAAGAUUCAAUUUCUCUCUGAAUGCUGCCGCGCAUUUCAUCGUAAUCUUGAAAAAAAUGCACGUAUUGUUCACGCAAGUGAUUUUUGAAUAUGUAAGAAGCACCAACGAAAAUGUUGGUAAGGGCUGAGUUCACCGGAAAAUUCAGCGGUUGCUAGUUGACCAUGACACAUCCACUCGUAAUUCAAAUGUAAGAGUUCACAUGAAAGUUGCUGUACAGUUUGCUUGUAGUUGGAACUAUUUGUUCAACCCAAAAUGUUAUCACAGGUGUGAAGAAGAAGCGUGUAAAAGAUGAUAGACCAGACAUUGGAAGACGGAAACAGCGUGUGUCAUCCAUGCGCCGAUGAGCAUAACAAAGCAUUGACAUCUUCAAGGUGUCAGGCAAGAUAAAAACAAGCAGACACAAGGAAUACAGUUAAUAUAAAAGCUCAUUCAACAUCCAACAUAUUUGUUACUUUAAUUGCUAUAUAAUUAACUUGUCUCUCAGUUACACACUUCUUUCCUUUGUUUUGUCAUUUUCCGUUAUGUGGUUUAUAACGAUAAAGAGAAUAAACAUUCAGUCAUG